rnacentral:rRNA from 11 species
AGUACCGUGAGGGAAAGGCGAAAAGAACCCCUGUGAGGGGAGUGAAAUAGAACCUGAAACCGGAUGCGUACAAGCAGUCAGAGCCCGCAAGGGUGAUGGCGUACCUUUUGUAUAAUGGGUCAGCGACUUACAUUCAGUAGCGAGGUUAACCGCAUAGGGGAGCCGUAGAGAAAUCGAGUCUUAAUAGGGCGUUUAGUUGCUGGGUGUAGACCCGAAACCGGGUGAUCUAUCCAUGGUCAGAGUGAAGGUGAAGUAAAAUUCACUGGAGG